UAUAAAGAGGGCUCAAUGUCAGCGGAGGUCGCACAGGUAGUCCCCGGGCAGGUGGGAAACUUUGGGCCGCGUUUCGCGCCGCCAAGCUGCCCGUUUAUUGGAUCGGAGCGUACUGAAAGUGACGGCAUCCGCGCCAGAACUCAACCGUUGGACACAGUGGUUCUUGCCUCGACGGUGGCGAUGGUGGUUCGUUAUGCCAUAAGCCCCACCACCACCACCACCUCCGUAUGGGUGGCAUGGGCGAAAGUCCGUCACCAAAGGCAGCGGCUGCCUAAUGCAGUUCCAUUCAAAAUCAAAACGUGUUCUGCAUCGGUCCACACUUUCGCCGGGCCAAAAACCCGAAACCAACACCCGGACUCUGGCCCAGACAUAAGCCCACUUUGGAUUAGCCGGAAAACACCCAUCUGUAUACCCCACACCACCCACUGCCCACCUGGGAGCCUGAUAAUUGUACGCUCUGCGGUUGCCUCAUUAGGAAACUAUACAAAAUGCUCACGGUGAUAAGAACCUUAAGAAAACAUGAAAACAUGUUUUAGCUUCUGUGAUAUUUUUCAUUUGCUUGUUGAAUUAGAGAAAUACGACGGAGUGGAAUGGUAUUUUGGCCUUCGGAAACAUCUAACCUUGGAACAGACUGGCUGAUAAGGGCUCGAUCACGAGAUCUGUGAACUCGCCGUGUUUUUGUCUGGUUCGCAUUGUAGAAAAUCUAGAGGGGGAGAAGGCUGCUUGCUGUGACAGCGGAGAUAGCGAAAAUACUGGCAAAAUCAA